UUUUUACUAAAACAUUUUUUCGGGUGGUUUUACCACUUUUCCUCGUAAUAAAAAGGGACACAGAAUUCAACGUUUCGUUAGGAUAAACGGAAAUGUCAUUUUUGAAAAUGUCACGUUCGUUAAUCUCUACAGGAGGGGACGAUUUUUUUUCAUUCUGAAUCCUUAUCGGAAUAUUAUCGGAGAAGUUCACCUAUAAUAUUAUAGAAUAUUAAAUCUACGGUAUUUCGUAGAUUAUUAUUUUGGCAUUCGUUCAGCAACGCAGAAACUUAAACACCGAUCGGCAACGGUCUCGU